rnacentral:lncRNA from 1 species
AGCGUUUAUUCCGAUCAAAAAGUCCCAGAUUCAAAAAAGUUAAAAAAAAUUGAAAAACGCGUUGCAUUCCUGUCGCUUCUCUCUACGAGAGAAGCUCUACUGUGAUAGUCGAGUUGACAUAUUUAUAGACCCUCAUUGAUAGGAUUUCAACCUCCUGUGGAAAGGUCAGUAAAAAUGACCCGACUUCUUGCUUCUCUGAAGAUUAUUUGUUUUUGCAUCUUGUGAUUUAAGAAUAUUUCUUGCAACAUGUUAAUGUGCUUCAGGGUUCCUGGCAUCUUGUUUUGGUUUCUAAUGGAUCAUUGUUUCAUUGGCAUCACAUUUUGUAGUCCAUUUUGAAUACAUUUUGGACAAACUAGUAACACAACUUUAUUAUAGUGCCUA